CACUGGUCGAGUGAUGCUGCGCCGAAGAUUUCCGGGGCUAAAACUUACUACCGAAGCUACGGCAUCAGUAAUGAUGGGUAGGGGAGCUUCCCAUACGGGUUGAAGCAUGACCGUAAGGACAUGUGGACAGUAUGGGAGUGGGAAUGUUGGCAUGAGUAGCGAGAUGUGGGUGAGAAUCCCACAGGCCGUAAACCCAAGGUUUCCAGGGGAAGGUUCGUCCGCCCUGGGUUAGUCGGGACCUAAGCUGAGGCCGAAAGGCGUAGGUGAUGGACAACAGGUUGAUAUUCCUGUACUACCGAUAACCGUUUG
rnacentral:rRNA from 1 species